CAAUUAAUAUAAAUACAUAUAUUUAAAAGUAAUAUAGUGGUGUCAAAAUAGAUAAUAUAAAUAAUUAUUAUUUUAGGCGAAUCGGUUUUGAAUAAGAGACACCAAAAGUGAAAAGGUCUUUCUGAUGAUGUCUUGGAUGAAAAGAAACAAGAAUUCAAUACAUAAAUGAUCAAACGCUAGUGAGUAUUGUAUAUUAAUUAUAAUUGUAUAUAUCAAAAAAUUAUAGCUAUAACACUCAUGCGACCAAAUUAUAAUUGUCUCACAUGGUUCUAAUAUUUUAGAAGAUCCACGGCACAAAAGUAUGCAAGACUCUCGUAUUGGUACAAUGGAUUAGAAACCGAAUGG
rnacentral:lncRNA from 1 species